AAGAACAAUGAGAGUACUAAAAGAGGGUGAAGCUCCUUUGGGAAAAGGUUUGCCACAUCGGUACAAAACAUACAGCACACGAACCGUUAGGAAGAUUGAGAAGAUGAUUAGGAGUGAAGGGAAGGUGCACUUGGAGAGCAUCUUCGAGUAAAUGCAGCAAUGGUGGUGUUCCUCCAUGCUAGCUCUCUCUUCUCCUUCCAAACUACAAUUCGAACAAAGUUUAAAACUUUUGGAUAUUGGCUUCAAAAUUGAGGAUAAAAGAAUCUAAAUUUUCAAUAAAGGCGGAAAUGAUUCCAGAUCUGAAGCUAGAGAGGAGAUGUUAGCAAAAAGGAUCCAUUUUCUUACAGCCGAAACAGAAGAUCUACGACGGAGACGGGAUCAAGAAGGUUUGGUGUUGAAUUUUUCAGUGGUGGUCGCCGUGUUUUUACACGUGGCGUUAGCCCGUGACUUAUCUUGUUCCUUUGUAUUUACCAAAGUGGCAUUUUUUUAAUCUAAACCGAAUUUAAGAGCAAUUUUGUCCGGUUUAGUCAAGAUAUCCAAAACUUAAGUAUCUCCUGAGAUGACAUUUGGUCUCAAACUUUCAAGUGUUUCAUAUAUUUCUUUUGGAUUAACAUUAAGAAGUUUAUCUUUUCUUUUGACAAGUUUUUCUCUCUUUGUCGCGGCAUGCGUUACUGAGUAAGGUCUUGAUACUAGGCAAUGCAACUUCUCUAUGCGUUUUGAACUUGCAAAGACGGUGUUGGCAUACAUUCAUAACCAUUGGGAGGGAAAGAAAACCUGGAUCAGACUACGUACUCAUGGUUGUGAGGUACAUAUGUUUUGCAAUCUAUAAGAGAAAGCUUUAAAAUCUACAAUUUUUGCAACAACUGGUCACCAAAUCUAGACCAUCAGUCUAUCAUAUCUGUCAACAUGUGUUGCUUGUAGAAGUGUAUCUCACACAGCAAGUCUUCAGGAAUGCUAAAAAUAGUGGAGGAGACACUGCGAAAAAAAACUCCAAUAACGUUGACUUAUAUUAGUCACCUAAAACUAAAAGACACAUCAAAAAUAAUUGGUUUAAUGUAUUUUAUUUAGAAUUUAGGCUUCAAAUCCAAUUAUAAGUUCAUGGCCAAGUUUGGCUUUUAAUGAAAAAUUAGAUCUGUUGUCCGCAUAUGUGGGCAUAAUUUUUUUACAAAUAUUUAUUAAUUCAAAAACCAUCCUUAGAAUUUAUUAUUUAUAUUUUCAAAAGUUGAAAUCAAUUAAAUUAUUAUAUAUGACAAAAAUUAUCAUUAAAAUAUAUAUAUUUAUUAUUGUAUUAAAUUUUGAAAAUAGUUACAUAUUAUAAAUAUUUUAGAAAAUUUUUAUACAAAUGUUCUUGUUUAAUUAAUAUUAAUUAUAAAUUGUUUUAAAACUUUUUUUUACUUUUAUAAUAGAAAUAAUUAUUUAAGAUAACAAUACAAUAUAUAAAAAUUAUUUUUUUUAAAAAUAAAUAUUAUUAAUAUAAAUUCGUUUUUAAUUAUAUAAUAAAUUCGUAAUAAUGGUAUGUAUAUAGAUAGAUUGUGUUAUAUCUUACUUUUAACUUUUAUAAUAAAAAUAUUUAUUUUAAGAUAACAACACAAUAUAUAAUAAUUAUCUUAUUUUAAAAAAAAAUUAAUAUGAUUAAUAUCAAUUUGUUUUAAAUUAUAUAUAAAAAUUAUCAAGAGUAUCAUUAACUUUAACCACUCUAAUUUUUAACGUGAGAGUUCUGUUGUGAAAAUUUACUUCACAAAUAAUAGUAUAGAAAAAUACGAAAAAAAGUUUCCCACCGUUAGAUUUCAGAUAUUGUUUUCGUGUGCCAAAAAAACGUUUUAAAAGCCAUUUUUAAUCCAUCUAGAAAUCAUUGCGGCAUGGUAGCAACUUACGUUUAGAUUUAAAAUUUACAGAUUUCCACGCAUGGCCAGCAAAAAGAAAUUGUACUAAAUAGAAAAUAAUUAAUUAACAAAAAUAAUAAUUUUGAGAAACAAAAAAAAUAACACAAUGUACAGUAGAUAUGUUUAAGCAAACCAAUUCAUACUUUAUUGAAAUAGUAUAUAACCCAUAAUAUAAACCAUCAAAAUGAAAUUUAAUCAGGCACAACCAGAAAAUGUAACCAGAAAUAUAACUAUCUAAAUCAAAAUCAAAAUCAAGAAUUUCAUAUCCUUAUCAUGAUCCAUGAGUUUGAAUUAAACUCAUAAUUUUAUCGGAUUUCUAACAUUGUUAUUUAAACUAAACCAAAUUAGACUAGGAAUUUUAUUGAAUUUUUAACAUUACUAUUUAAACCAGCCCAAAAUAACAAAACUCAAACCACAUCCCAAUUCAUUAAUAACCUAGCUAUUAAUAUACUUCAUGAACUAAAAACCAAAAUUCACAACUGAAUCGGAACAAAAACAAAAUCAGUGAAUACAAUCUUGAUGUGAACCAAAAUUUAUAAAAUAUUAUCGAUUAUAAAAUCUGUAGUUUAAAAACGUAAAUCAUAAAUAAUUCAUUGUGCGAGUCAGAAUCUGGGAUUUAUUAUAGAGUUAUUUUCAUUCUAAGACACUUUAUGUCUUUUUAUUACAUUCUAAGACACUUAUUACUACGGAGGUAGUUUUUAGUGUUUAUUGACCCUCUUGCCCUCAACUAAGCGAAACUAGAUGAUGACUUUCGGUUUACUUUUUUUUUUCAGUUAGAAUAAUUUGAAUUUUGAAUUUGUUUAAAAUGGUGAAACCAAAACAAUAAUAAAUUUUUUAAUUUUCACGACAUUUUUUUUAACUACAAAUUCUUAUCUUCUUAUCACAAUUACCAAGACAAAGAAUGUAAACGCAGUUAUCGGCCGGAAACAAAAGUACGACGACGGAGACGUUGUUUGAUAAUAACAUCUCGUCUACUUGAUUCCUCUCUCGUCUACGCCAUAGCUCCUCCACGCCAAGCUCUAUGGUCUUCAAUUCUUGGUUCCACCUGUUGUAUACACCACAGCUCCUACUCGCCGUGCUAUCUGACCCUCCUCCGUGACCUGCUUCUCACCGCCGACUCACGUCUGCGCCAAUCUGCAAUGGCAAACUUCUCCACCAUGGGAUCUCCUAGUCGCUGCCUCAUCCGCCGUACAAGCAAUACCUCCACGUCGUUCCACCGCGCCCAGCUCCACCGCCGUUGCCAUCCAGAGUCGUCGUCACUCGGGUUCUCUGGAUCGAGAGCUCAGCGACAAUGGAUAAUUUUCUCAUAAUUUAACCGUUAGUCCUUCAAGUUCUUCCUUUUUUUUGUUUUGUCCCUAAAGUUUUAUCAUGUGCAGAGUUUUGUCUUCGUUUUUUUUUGGUGGAUCUUCCUUAUGUAAUUCUUUGGUCAAAAACACUCUUGCUAGUUGUUGUUAUCAACUAAGGUAGAAGAAGUCAGUUAUUGGUUUUUUGUUGGUUCUAUAACUCGUAGUCUCUUAGCAUAAAAGAGUUCAAUUUCCUUUGGUGUUUCUGCAAUUGUAAAGUGACUGUUGUAUUAUUGUUUUGUUAAUAUUCAAAUUAUAGUGUCUGCGCGAUGGUGUACAUAUUUAGUAGCGUCUGCGUGUACACACGUAGAAAACUUAGUAUGUAGGCAUGCAUGUUUGAGUGUGGAUAUGUAAACAGUAUACUAGAGCUUGUAUGUGUGCGUGUACACAUGUAAAAAACUUGGUGUGUAGACAUUUUUGAGUGUUGAUAUGUACCAUGAUGUUUUAGCAAGCGGCAUUACUUUUGUGUGAAACCUUUGUCUCAUAAGUAUAUGUGAAAAUAGAUGUACAACCAUAUAAUAAUAUCCAUGUGUACACGGUUAUAAUGAUAUCCACAUGUACAACCAUUGUAUGAUAUUAUGUGUAUGUGUGUACAGAAUCAAAAGGUGCUUGUAAAGUUCAUGGAAAAUGCAGAUUGUUUUGAGUCCAGCUCAUGAUUGGUUAUCAGCUAAACGUUGUUGAUAGUAGUGGAAUCACUCUUAGCACUGUUCAAGAGGAGGUGAAGUUAAUGUGCCUCAAGUUCUAUGUAUAGCAAUAACUACUGCAAUUUCAAUACUUUUCUUUUUGAAUUAGUUGUGUACACUAUUUGCAAUUUUGAUACAUUUGAUAUUUCAGAAAGCAUCAUUAUUUUUGUAUGACACGUUUUCUUAGUCAAUAUCAAUUUACAUAUGAAUAAAUUAUUAAGUAUGAAGCUGUCUAAACAAAAUGAUUGAUACUGAUAAAAAAAUAAAACUUACUGUAAAAUGAAAUAGCCUCCAAAUAUGUACAAAACCAUAUAGUAGUAUCUAUAUGUACACUGUUAUAAGGUAUCCAUAUGUACAACCUUAUAACAAUAUCCAUGACUAUGUCAUAUGUCUACAUAUGUACAAUCGUUAUAGUUAUACUGUACACAAUUUUAUUUGUGUAACAUGUACACGAUUAUAUAUUGAAAUAUAUAUUCUUGGUGUACACAUACAAAUAUAUAUUCUUGGUGUACACAUACAAAUGUAUUUUUAAACAUGUUCACACGAUUAAGCAACGAGGGAUUUAACUUUGAUCUGAGCAAAACACAAGUCCAACUCUUUCUUGUGAAGAUCUUCCAUACACUAUCCGUAAGCAUAGACUGCUAAGUUUUCGGUGCUGUUGACUACUUGGCGGUAGCCUUUAGCUUCCACAAGUGGAGAGAUGGCGUCUAUGGCGGUAAAGAAUUUGGUGACGAUGAGACUUCUUUGCUGCGGCGUCGUUGUUAUGUUACUACACAUCAAGUCUAGAAACAAUUAUCUAAGAGAUUAUGGACAAGAAUAUAAGAUUUUGGAUUCAUCUGUAAAAAAAAAGUAACGACGAAGAAGAUGAAUCAAGAGUAAUUAACUAAAUAUCAUUGGAUUUAUCUUGACCAUUCAUAUUAAAAAAACAAAAGUAAAUCUGAUGGUUGAAAAAUUAGACAGAUAUAUGUCUUGUCAAGAUGUGGAAUGGAUGAUCUUAGCCGUUGAGAGGUAUGAGAGAUGUGUGGCUGAGGUUAAGUCCCGCCACAUGUGUAGUUAGGUUAGUCAACUAUGUCUUUAAGAUUAAAUUGAAUCAGUUAACAAUGAACUACAAAGUUGAAAUAAAGUGUCCUUGUAGAAGAAAGUGACCUAUCAUGAUAUUAAAAGAUGAAAAGUGACUCUGAGUGAUAUUAUUUCUUUAUUAUAUACUUAUUAGUUUAUACGUGUAACAAAAGUGUUAUGUAGCCUUGCGUGCAAAGAAAAACAGAAACGGGCACCGUUAGCCAAACCCUACAACCUUAUCUCUGGUAUAAAAGCCAUAAAACUCUAACACAGACCUCUACUUCUGCGGCUACUGCAGAAAAGAAAAAUCAAUAUCCUCACAAUGAACUCCUUGGGUAAGUCUUAUCUGGUCGAAUAGCUGAAUUGUUUUGUCUUUUUGAAGUUUCUGUUAUGUUAUCAAAAUAUUAGGAAAAAAGUUUCUCAGCUACACCAUGUUUAGUAUAAUAUGGUGCAAACCAUCCAGAGUUUAGAAAUGUGUCGAAACCUAUACGAAAUAUAUGAUAAUACAUGUCACAUAUACGACGUUAAUAAAAAUAUGGUGCCAACAUCAUAACGAGGUUUAAUUGAUUUUAGCUUAAAUAAUUGGGGUCAGAGCGUAAUUUCUUAAAGUUAAACUCCAAUUAACAAAACCCGACCCGACCCGUUCGAUAAACCCGACCCACACUUAACCAUUUCCCCCAAAUCGAUUUCAUUAGGGUUCUAAACAAGAAAAAAAUUGGGAAUUUUGAAAAGAGAGUGAGAGAUUCGUCAGAGACAAAGAGAGAUUGCAGAGACAGAGAGAGAGAUCGAUUCAGUUUCCAUGGGUCGUAAGACUUCUUCAUUGUCCAGACUUGGUUUGAUUUUGAUGGUCUUGUAUAUACAUCUCGGCUAAGGCAGCAAACACUGCAGAUCCAAUGGGAAGAACAUUUUCAUCAAGGAAGAAAUAAGGUGAAUGAACCGAAUGCACAGAACCGACUUGUUCGUUUCUGAUACCGAUUCGAAUUUUUUCUUGUUUAGAACCCUAAUGAAAUCGAUUUGGGGGAAAUGGUUAAGUGUGGGUCGGGUUUAUCGAACGGGUCGGGUCGGGUUUUGUUAAUUGGAGUUUAACUUUAAGAAAUUACGCUCUGACCCCAAUUAUUUAAGCUAAAAUCAAUUAAACCUCGUUAUGAUGUUGGCACCAUGAUUUUAUUAACGUCGUAUAUGUGGCAUGUAUUAUCAUAUACAUCGUGUAGGUUUCGACACAUUUCUAAACUCUGGAUGGUUUGCACCAUAUUAUACUAAACAUGGUGUAGCUGAUAAACUUUUUUCCAAAAUAUUAUCCUGUUGAAUGAUGGGCUGUUUUAGGCUAUGUUUUAGGCUUUAUCCCUAUUUUCGUUUCUAUUUGAUUAUCCUGUUGAAUCACGUGCUGAGUUGAUUCGAUUCUUAAAAUCACUUCUUGUUUUGUCUUUUUGAAGUUUCUGUUAUGUUAUCAAAUUGCAUCAUGUUCUGUUUUAGUCAAUCGAUUCUGAUUUAGCCCUAUUGUUGGUCAUUCAGCUGACGAACAAGUGGAGGACUCGAUGCCUAUUGCAAAACCAGUAACUACUACAGGUAAAAAAAAAAGAAGAUAAACUUUUGUUUUUAGAUUGAAAGCUUUGUGUUGAUUAAAAGCCCUUUGUCAAAAAAAAAAAAAAAAAAGCUUUGUGUUGAUUUUGAGCUUCUUUUUUUUUUUUUUUCAUUCUUUCUCUUAGGUGAGACCGUGUUGCAACCAUGUUCCAGUAGCAAAACAAAUCUGAAGAGGCAGAAGAUACACAACGAGAGUAAAGCAAAUUUGAAGAAGCAGAAGGAAACCGAGGUUACAUUUCUGUGAAAUUCUUGCAUAGUUUGUUUAAAAAAAAGAAAACUGCAAAGGUUAGAUUUUUACUUGUCCUUGUUGUUUUUGUCUAUUAAGAGAGAGAAGGAAGAUUCUUGCUGUUAUGGAUGUGAAGGAGCGACCGGAAAUAGUCUUGAAACCAUUUUCGUUAAGGGAUUUCAACAUUUGCGCCCCAGGGAUGAAAUCAAGAAUGAAUUGAGCAACUUUUUUGGUUCUUGUGGAAAAGUCGUAAGGGUUUUUGUUCCCAUGCAAUGUGUUACCUGUGUUCCCUUGGGGUUUGUCUCUUUGUUCCUCUUUUUUUUUUGUCUACUCGUAUCAUAUAAACUAAAGAUUGUGUCGUUUCUUAAUAACAGAUUUAUUUUCAUUGACUACUCAAAUGGCGAAAAUGAGGCGUUAAAACUAAAUGGAAGUUACAUGGGAGGCCCCUUUUCCCCUUUUCCCUCCUCUUGGUUAUGCAUCUUUUUUUUUUUUCUUGAUAACAAAGUAACGUUUUCUAUUGAUAUUGCAGGCCGUUUGACUUCGACAAAGCUUAUUUCAAAAUUCUGGCCGAGAAGGCUAAUUCCAAAAUUUAAGCCAAAUUUCACCACUGAACCCGAGCUUCUUUUAUUUUUAUUAUCUAAUUAUUUUGUCUUGAUUUUGACUCUGCUAUGCUUUAAAUCAAAUUAUGUAUGAAACUCGUUAGUAUGGAGACUGUGAUUUUCAGAAAAGUUUGUUGAAAAAUGAUUUGGCCUUCCAUUCUCUAUAAUUAUAUGUGAUUAAGUUCCAUGUUGUUUAUGUCAUUUAAAUCGUGUGGGAAAAUUUUCUUCUUUCUUUAAGCGUUUCGUUUUCCCCUUCAAAUCUUAGUUUUCCAUAACUUCUCAGCCGCCACCAUUGUUGGAGAUCUUCUCCGUCCACCAUCCCCGCCAUGACUUAGAAGAUGGCUGUAGGCUUUAGCUGACAUUCAAAUACGGCGGGACGUGCUGUAGGCUGUGUCUUGAUUUUCAAGAAACGGCAGUUGGUUCGGGGUUUGUUUUGUUUUGGUCUUCAGUGCAUGAAGCAUAAAGAUCUUUACAUGUCGAUAUGGUCGAGUCUCCUAGUGGAAUUUCAAGUUCACUUGAACAAAGGCUGCUUCUUUUUGUGAACCAAGGCUUAGAAUGGUCGGCCAAGUGGUUAGAGAUAGCUCCUCAAAGCUGUAACUAUUUAAUGGUCGGCCAAAGAAGAAGCAUAAAACAAAAGCUUCAAAAAAAGUUAUGUCUUAUUUAAGAAUUUAAGAAUGUUUUUUUUUUUGAAGGAUUUUGUUUUUUGUAUGUUUAGAACUUGAUAUAUAUGUUGUUUUGAACUAUAAUUGACACAUUAAAAUUUGACUACAAUAUUUACUAGGUAUUCCUAUAAGUAUAUUAGGUUACUAAUUAUUUAUGACUUCUAUAAACUUGUAAAUAUAUUUAAAACAUGUCUAAAACAUGUGAAACAUGUUUAACACAUGUUUAAAACAUUUAUUAAAACAUAAUUAAAUUUAAAAUGUUACUAUAAACUAAUACUUUUAAUAAUACUCAAAAUAAUAGUAAUAUUAAUUUUCAUAAUCAUAUUUAUAUAAAAUUUAACAUUAAUUAGUGAUACUCUUCGUAAUCAGAAUCAGAAUGAAACCUUGUGAAAAUUUACGGAAUCUCAAUUCCAAAACGCUUCUAAAAUAUUUUUCCUAUAAACAUGUUUGAAGCUUACGAUUCCGUUUUCUUCAAAUACAAUGUCAUAAAUCUAUAAAAAUAUAAAAUUAUAGUUUUUAAUUUAUAUAAAAUUUAAAUUUUAAUAAUAGUGAAAUAUAGAGAAUAGAAAUAUACAAAUAUUCAUAAUAAUACUAUAAAAUUAUUUAUUAAUGGAACCCAAAAAAAAAAAGAUUUUGAGAGAGAGGAAAGAGAGAGAAAAGAAAAAAUAAGAGAAGGACUUUAGUUAAAUAGUAAAUUAUGUUUUUUUUCUUAUUUAACCCAAUUACAGGUAUUUAAAAUUGUAUGUCUCUCUCCGUGUGUGUGGUAGAAAACAAUUUUGUAGAGAAAAUUUUAUACGCAUUCCAAAGCUUUAUUAGAACACCUCUAAGAGCAUCUCCAUUGGAGAAUUUAAUGAGAGGUUCACACAGUUUCCAAAAAAAAAAAAUAUAAUAAUAUGUUUUUUAUGAACCUGUAUCACUUGAGCUCGCUGAAAUAAACCUGUAUCAACACUGUUUGCGGAUUCACUGACACGUGGCGCUCGCAAUUGGUUGGUUUGUUAAUUUUUUUUUUUUGGAAAAACCAAAAAAAAAAUUAUAAUAAUCAAAAGUAGAUUUUGGGAAGAGUUCACCAAUUAGGGUGUUCUAAUAAGGGUUCUUCUCAUUAGAGAUCUUAAAAUAUGUACUAUGUAUAUAUCUAUGUAUGUAUAUAUUAUAUAGGUAUAAGUAUUUAUGAGAUCUUCAAUUUUUGUGGAAUCCCAUAGACAAAAAUUCUUAAAAUGAGAUUUUAAGAAUCUUUAAAAAAAUUUGUUUAUGAGAUUUCACAAAAAUUGUAGACUCUACAAAUACUUAUAUCUAUAUAAUAUAUAUUUAUAUAUACAUAGUACAUAUUUUAAGAACUCCAAUGAGAAGAACCCUGUUGGAGGUGCUCUUAGUUCCAGAGUCACAGUCAAAUAAUACGCACAAUUCACAUUGUAUCCAGUUGAUUAUUAUAUACACCCUCUUCUUACCAGAACCAAGAACAACGAGUGUACUAAAAGAGGGUGAAGCUCCUUUGGGAAAAGGUUUGCCACAUCGGUACAAAACAUACACUACACGAACCAUUAGAAAGAUUGAUAAGAUGAUUAGGAGUGAAGGGAAGGUGCAUUUGGAGAGCAUCUUCGAGUAAAUGCAGCAAUGGUGGUGUUCCUCCAUGCUAGCUCUCUCUUCUCCUUCCAAACUAUAAUUCGAA
rnacentral:lncRNA from 1 species